GAGUCCCGAGCCUUGAUCCCGUAUCCCCGGGCUGCCUGGCUACUCCGGCGGGUGGGCGGCGCCCGGGGGCGCGGGGACACCAAAGGGCGGGACCCCGGCCGAGAGCGCCUUUUGGCGGCCCCUCCGCGCUGUGACCCGUCCCCGAUUGAUCCCCGCACCUUUGCCCACCAGUCCCAGCCCCCUGGAGCUGAGGCCAGACACUUCCCACUGCUGCCGGCGGUUACCGAUCGCUUUCAUUAGCGCCCCUUUUCCUGCUCUGCUGACACACUGAGGCCACGUCCUACACCAUCACCACCACCCACAGGCCUUUGCCGGCCACGUCUCGACUCCCCCGAUCGUUACUGCCACUUCCCAGGCCACAGCCUUCUCUGGCCACAUCCCAACACUUGCCCUGUCCCCGACGGACCAUUAGCGGCUUCUUCUGGACCUUUCAGAGAUAAGCGAGUGGACCUUGGCAGUGUAGGGCCCAGUCCUAUGGGAACAAGGGAUGGGGGUUUCAGAUUGCAGUCCUUGGUUCCACGGGCUUAGAUGCCGCCUCCACAGGCACCCGGAUAUGAAUAUGACCCUAGGGAGGCCCACCCCAGGGUAUCCAGAGCUGAGAAAAGACAGAGGUUUUACAGGCCAUCAAAGAUUCGGUGGUGUCCUCUCUAGGGACUUCCCUCUACCAGAGGAGCUUAAAAAAACUCUCUUGUGUUCCCAGGAGGAUGGCAGAUGGUGAGCAAGCUUUCGAAACCAUGUCGCUGGGGACAUUAAGCUUGGAGAAAGUGACAGUAGGGAUACAGUUUUGAAGUGACCAAAGGGUUGACUUGUGGAAGGAUGAGACCUUGUUCUGUUUUCCUGGAGAGUGUGUGGAGGUUACUGCGAGGCCCGUUUCAGCUUGGUGGAAGGAUAAAUUGAACACUGAGAACUGCCUAUCUCUGGAGGGAGUAAGCAAGAGCCAGUCCAGGGUCAAGGGACUGAUGUUUGAAGGGAAAGCUUCAAAACUUUUUAAAGAAACCUUCAGAAUGGCUUUGAACCCGACAAGCUAGACAUCGCUUCAGAGCACCGCCUUCAGCAUGCAUCUGCCCUGUCAGGCUUCCCUGGCAAAGGGGUAGUUCUUUGAAGGGGUCGUUCUGCAGACGGCCAGGGAAACGAUGCUCACGGAACCAGAUUGGUGGAUUUGACUUUCUGGUAGAAUUCUCUUGCUUUAUUGAUUUUUUUCCCAGAGCUCUGAGAGGCUGGAGGUAUUGAUGGGACCGAAGGGCCUGGAAGGAAGGGAAGAAGCAUUUUCAUGCUGAAUGAAAACUAGACAAGUGACUGUUGGAGACUGAAAACACCUAAACGUCCCACAUCCGGAUUCAGCGGAGGAACUGUCACUGCUGGGGAGAAAGAAGCCAGACUGGAAAAGAAAACCCAAAUAAAGAGAAUGAGGGCCACCGAAGAGUAAAUGGCCACCUCCACCUCGACAGAGACCAAGUCAGCCUCCUGGUGGAAUUAUUUUUUCCUUUAUGAUGGUUCCAAGGUGAAGGGAGAAGGAGAUCCAACCAGAGCUGGCAUCUGUUACUUUUUUCCCCCUCAGACCCUGCUUGACCAACAGGAGCUGCUCUGUGGACAGAUCGCCGGGGUUGUCCACUGCAUUUCUGACAUUUCCGGCUCUCCUCCCACCAUCGUCCGUCUGCGGAAACUUAAGUUCGCCAUAAAGGUUGACGGCGAUUACCUUUGGGUGCUGGGCUGUGCUGUUGAGCUCCCUGACGUCAGCUGCAAGCAGCUUCUGGAUCAGCUCAUCGGCUUCUUUAAUUUUUACAACGGGCCUGUUUCUCUGGCCUACAAGAGCUGCUCUCGGGAAGAACUGAGCAGGGAGUGGGACACCUUCAUUGACCAGAUCCUGAGAAACACCGGUGACCUGCAUAAGAUAUUCAACUCCCUCUGGAACCUGGACCGAACGAAAGUGGAGCCCCUGCUGUUGCUGAAGGCGGCCCUCGUUCUGCAGACCUGCCAGCGCUCGCCCCACGUUCUAGCCGGCUGCAUCCUCUAUAAGGGGCUGAUCGUUAGCACCCAGCUCCCACCCUCUGUCACAGCCAAGGUUCUGCUUCAUCGAGCUGCACGUCGGGACCAGAGAAAACCUCUAGGAGGGGAUGCCCUGCAGGAACACGGAGCAGCACUCCCUCCAAACGUCCAGAUUGUGCCUGUUUUCCUGACUGAAGAGGAAGCUGUCAGUCUCCGUGAGUUCCCCCGGGAGCCCACGACCAGCACUCUGGCAUCUCCAGCCAGACUCCCGGAGCCCCCAGCCCAGCGCCCUCCAAAGGGUUUGAACACAUCUGCCCUGAAAGAAAACGCCCCCAGACACGUGGAAUCCACGGCUCGGAUCUCAGCGACCAGCCCUGAGCCCACGUCUCCUGACGUCACCCGGCCAAAUGGCAGGGGGGAGAACGGACACUGGUCAGACUGUGAUCUGAAAAGCAUCAAGCCCCCAACACCGCACCACGCUGCCGGGGGCCGGGGGCCUGGGCUCGGCCUCUCCCUGGUGAAGGAAACCGGUUUGUCCAGGGGGGAAGAGGAACUGGACUUGUCUGAAAUCCACGUUCCAGAAGCUCAGGACACGGGAGCAUCCUUGGGUUAUUCUGCCUCCGCCGGCGGGCCUCCUGGCUGCAGGGCAUCUGUCAGUGACUCUGGCAACCCCGGAAGCCAGCCACCCGAGGCCCUGCCUGUGGGCACGGCCGUGGAAGGCCCCCUCCCUCCCUCCACUGCUGAGAUGCUCACCCAGAAUGGAGCCCUAGAACGGCCCAGAGACCUCCCUGGCAACAGCAGCCAAGCCCCCGUCCCCAGGGACCACCUCCUCAGCCCGACGAGCGGGCCGUUGCCGUCGCCUUGCUUGGAUUUGAGGCAGACGGGGUCUGAGCUGCCCGUGGGGGAACAAGGUGAGGGGCAGCACAGCGAUGGGGUUCCUGAGGGCCGCUCAGCCUCCAGCCCGGAACGCGCCUCGGGCUCGGCAGACCCCCCAGGCGACGGCCCCUGCGCAGACAGAUCCGGAUCCAGGGCGACCCCCGUGUCCCUCGCGCGGCUCGUGCGGAUGAACCUCUACACUCACAGCGUCAGAGGCCUGGCGCUGCUGCUGCUGGCCGAGGAGCCGCUGCUGGGAGAUGGCGCGGCCGUCGAGGACGUGUACCACGGCAGCCUGGCGUCCCUCAAUGGGCUGGAGGUGCACCUGAACGAGACGCUGCCCCAGGACCAGGCGGCCCCCGCGGCCAGAACCUAUGGCUUCGCGCACUACGACCGCAUCCAGAACGUGCUGGCGGGCAACCUGCCACAGGUGGCUACAGCCCAGGACCGCCGCUUCCUCCAGGCCGUCAGCCUGAUGCAUGCCGACUUUGCCCGGCUGCCCGCACUGUACGAAGUAACCGUCAGGAAUGCCUCCACGGCUGUGUACGCCUGCUGCAGCCCUGUCCAGGAAACCUAUUUCCAGCAGCUGGCGCCGGCGGGGCGGAGCUCCGGCUUCCCGAGUCCGCAGGACAGCGCCUUCAGCCUCCCGGGCAAAGCCAAGCAGAAGCUGCUGAAGCACGGGGUGAACUUGCUUUGAACCGUGGGUUCGUGACCCCAGCAGAUGACUCUCACAUCGAAUCCCAGCAAAGGAAGCUCUGCCUUGUUAAAUGGAAAAGUCCCACUAUUUUGUUUUCCUUGGAAUAGUCCCUUGUUUUUAGGAAUGUAAUGAUAUUUAAGUGUUUGUUGCCCCUUCUGCAGAUUGGCGUUGGAGGAGGUAGCUCUCCGGGUCAGCAGACCUAGAGCACAUGGUAAAGAACUCGAUGAUGUGGGCAGCACUGCGGCCAGACUGGGUGCCUUGGUCCUUACACCCAAGGGGCACAGGGCCAGUGAGCCCCCCGUCACACUGAGCCCCGGGCGCCUGACAUUUCUUGCUGCUGUUCCACCCCAGCCUUAACUAGGACCACAAAAUCCCAGCCUGGCCAGGUGAGGAAGAGCGCAUGACAGAACGGUCCAUGCGAGGGUGGCGUGCUGUUCCAGGGAGCACCAGCUUCAGCGUGGCUGGACCGCACGCCAGGCCCAUGUCACCCUUUCUGUCACCUCUCUGGGGUCCCUCCUGCCACUGGCUGGCCUAAGAGGUGAGCUUCCCAGAUGGAGGAGGACCACACCUCAAGCUAGGAGAAAUGUACAGUGUCCUACUUCUCUGCCUGAUUCUCCAAGGAAAAGUCCCUUACAAAUCCCGGGGCCAAGCUCUCACGGAACAUUCCCGUGACUGCCUUACACAGAACAUGUUCCUUUCUGUCCUGAGGUAUCUUCAAGCAUCCACACUUUUUUCCUCUUGCCACUGAUGCUCCAGAAUCGUGAGAUCUCCAAGUCCUGAGUUUGGUGAAAUUCUGACCUGUUACGUGUUGACACAGGGACAGAACCUGGAGCCCCUGAGCCCAUUUUCAUCUGCGCCCCCGGUACCUCAGCUAACUACCUGGGCUCAAGGACUCUUCCAAACAACAUCUGCUUCACAAGGAAAUCUCCUGCCUGUCUCUGAGCCCUUUCCUGGCUGUCAGGCCAUUGGCGGAGCUUAAUCUCCUCUGUUUUGCUUUCAGAAACCUCUCUUCCCAUCUAAUUUCCCAGGGCUGCUGUUGAGCCUAAAAUGUGUGUAAUACAAAAUGCUUGUUCCUGAGAAUCAGUGCUCGAGGCAGCCCGGUGCUUCCCUCUGAGCUGAGUCUCAGCGAUCACAGGUACGAGGUCCUGUGAUCUCGGGUCCGCACAGCAGAAUGUGAGACCUGCAUGUGACGGCCAUUUUGAAAUAAGUCCACAAUUUCUUUGCUACAAAUUAGGGACCUGAUUCUCCCCCUUGAGUGUGGGCUGUACUUAGUGAUUCGUUUUAAUGACUAGAAUGCGGCAAAAAUGACAGUGUGACUUCUGAGAGUAGGUUAUGAAACAUCACAGCUGCCACCUCUCUCUCAGUUCACCUGUUUUGGGGAGAAGCUGACAUCCCGGCAGCCCUAUGGAGAAGCCCUCGUGGUGAGGGUCUCCUGCCCACGGCCACGUGAGUGAGCCUUCUUGGAAGCAGGUCCCCCAGCCCGGGUGCCUUCAGAGGACUGCAGCCCCUGCCGACAUGUGACUCAGCCUCGUAAGAAACAGCCAGAACCAUCAAGCCGAACCACUUCUGAACUAGCCCUCAGGCAGCGUGGGAGACAAUAAAUGUGUGUUGUUUUAAGCCACUCCUGGGGUGAUCUGUUACAGCAACAGACAGUACACUCACAAGCCCACAUCUUAGCCCCCGACCAGGUUCCCUGCAGCUUUGGCCCAGGGACCCUUCAGCCUCGGUCCGUAUCCAGCCACCAGCACCCGCCGGGCCGCACCACUAAGGAAGGAACCGAGCGCUCCCUCCCCUUUCUUCCCGCCAGUUCCAGAGUCCGAUCCUUCCCACGGGGGCGAGCCCCACUCCUCCACACCCGUGCCCCCAGGGACGGCGGUGUCUGCAGGAUGCCCUGGUUUACGGCACACCCCCCAUCAUCCAGGACGACUGCCUCCCGCCAGUGAGCGGGGAACAUGGGAGGACGGAGAGCAGUGAGAGGCUCUGUGAACCUCAGGGAAAAAGGUCCCAGGGUGUGAUUAACAGUGGCAAUCGACCAGACUCCUGCCGGGAAAGGCUCUCUGGUCCCCGGAGGGAUGUUGAGCCUAAUCAAACUGCCUCCCGCUGGCAGGAAGCAUCUAGGCUUAUGGCUCUUGUCACCUUGACCGUACAGCCAGUGGGGACUGGCUCUUGGUUGCAGUCACCGUCUCCCGAGCGUUGAAGCCCCAUGGUGGGCCUUUCUCAUGUGGCCGAGACGCUCUGCACACUCCCCCAGUUACUGCGUUCCUCACACCCAUCCUGCAGGAAGUGGGGUGCGGCUGCUGCCCGCUGGGUGUGCAUCCUCACACCGGACCACAGGCCCUGUGUCGUGGGCCCAGCAGUGGCCCCCAAAGAUGCCAACCAGGCCCUGUGAGCGUUGCGUCGUGUGGCCAGGGUGGCGCGGGUGCGACUGAGGAUCUUGAGAUGCAGGCCA